rnacentral:rRNA from 10 species
CACCUGUUCCCAUGCCGAACACAGAAGUUAAGCUCCUUAGCGUCGAUGGUAGUCGAACUUACGUUCCGCUAGAGUAGAACGUUGCCAGGCA